rnacentral:lncRNA from 1 species
CGUGGUGCGCCGUUUUUUUAAGCCCGCCGGAAAAGCGCAGUAUUCGGGUGGGAGUGACCCGAUUUUCCAGGUGCCGUCCGUCACCCCUUUCUUUGACUCGGAAAGGGAACUCCCUGACCCCUUGCGCUUUCUGAGUGAGGCAGUGCCUCGCCCUGCUUCGGCUCGCACACGGUGCGCGCACCCACUGACCUGCGCCCACUGUCUGGCACUCCCUAGUGAGAUGAACCCGGUACCUCAGAUGGAAAUGCAGAAAUCACCCGUCUUCUGCGUCGCUCACGGUGGGAGCUGUAGACUGGAGCUGUUCCUAUUCGGCCAUCUUGGCUCCUCCGCAUUUGUUUUUAUGGUGGUUUUGUAUUGUUUUUAUAGAGCUGCCCUCACAUGCUUCAGCAACAUUAGAUGUUCUGGAGACUGGAAAGUCCAAGAUCAUGGUGCCUGAGGAUUCAGUGUCUGGUAAGGGCUCAUUUCCUGGUUACAGGAGAAGAAGAAAAGAUCAACAGACAUAAAAUUUCAGAAUGAUUGACAGUCUUUAAAAUUGUAUGUAUGAAUACUAAUGUUUCUAAAUUUUGGUAAGAAAUGUUCUGUGUAAAUGGAUCACUGGAAAAAUAUAUUUUGUUGAAUUUAACUCUAACUCUAUAUUUCUCCCUGAUUUACAACUAUAAAAAUAUAAUGUUAGAACAUUACUGCGUUAAUAAAAAACUUGAAUUUACAUUUUCACAAUUUGAAAAUUAUUUUUUAGCUUUUGAGUUCAGAGGUAUGAGUGCAGUUUUGUUACAAAGGUAAACUUUUGUCAUGCGGGUUUGCAGUGCAGAUUAUUUCAUCACCCAAUUGUUAAGCCACUUCAAAUAGCAAAGACAUGAAAAAUUUAAUUUGCUACAAUUGUUCUGUGCUCUAGGAUUUAAUCAUUGUUUCCAUAAAUUACUAAAUACUAUAAAAAAUUG